AACGAACGCUGGCGGCAGGCCUAACACAUGCAAGUCGAACGGGACCUUCGGGUCUAGUGGCGGACGGGUGAGUAACGCGUGGGAACGUGCCCUUUGGUUCGGAAUAGCCCUGGGAAACUGGGAGUAAUACCGGAUACGGUCGAGAGACGAAAGAUUUAUCGCCGAAGGAUCGGCCCGCGUUGGAUUAGGUGGUUGGUGGGGUAAUGGCCUACCAAGCCGACGAUCCAUAGCUGGUUUGAGAGGAUGAUCAGCCACACUGGGACUGAGACACGGCCCAGACUCCUACGGGAGGCAGCAGUGGGGAAUCUUAGACAAUGGGGGAAACCCUGAUCUAGCCAUGCCGCGUGAGUGAAGAAGGCUAAUUAGGUUGUAAAGCUCUUUCAUUAAGGAGGAAAAUGACAGUACUUAAAAAAGAAGUUCCGGCUAAUACCCGUGCCAGCCGCCGCAGUAA
rnacentral:rRNA from 1 species